AACGAACGCUGGCGGCAUGCCUAACACAUGCAAGUCGAACGAGGCCUUCGGGUCUAGUGGCGCACGGGUGCGUAACGCGUGGGAACCUGCCCUUAGGUUCGGAAUAACUCCCCGAAAGGGGUGCUAAUACCGGAUAAUGUCUUCGGACCAAAGAUUUAUCGCCUUUGGGUGGGCCCGCGUUGGAUUAGCUAGUUGGUAGGGUAAAAGCCUACCAAGGCGACGAUCCAUAGCUGGUCUGAGAGGAUGAUCAGCCACACUGGGACUGAGACACGGCCCAGACUCCUACGGGAGGCAGCAGUGGGGAAUAUUGGACAAUGGGCGAAAGCCUGAUCCAGCAAUGCCGCGUGAGUGAUGAAGGCCUUAGGGUUGUAAAGCUCUUUUACCCGGGAUGAUAAUGACAGUACCGGGAGAAUAAGCUCCGGCUAACUCCGUG
rnacentral:rRNA from 1 species